AUAAACAAUUUUUUAGAUUUUAUGCAUAGUCAAGCUCUCGUCAAAGAAAUCGAGGGCAUGCUUGGGAGCAGGGUUUGGUUGCCGCCACCGUGCAUUAUCUUUCAAAAGCUAGAAAGUGUAGCUUCCACACAACCGGGCUUCGGGACCUGAGAUUUUUAAAGAUGCACCGCGGAUCCAAACAAGUGCCAAGUACAAUACUAAUUCAUAUAUAAAGCGAAAACAAGUGAACAAAUAAGGGUAGGAUUAUAAUUGGAACAGACACAUUAGCACUUUCAUGACAGGUGAUGCCUUUGUUGGUCUUUCCUAACUAUUGCAGCUUUGUUCCUGGGUGUGUCACAAUUCACAU
rnacentral:lncRNA from 1 species